UGCUCAGGUGGCCUAGUGGUUAAGACAUCCGCCUCAGAUGUGGGAGGUUGCGGGUUCGAACCCAGCCUGAGUCA